UACGUAGGGGGCUAGCGUUGUCCGGAAUCAUUGGGCGUAAAGAGCGUGUAGGCGGUCCGGUAAGUCCGCUGUGAAAGUCGGGGGCUCAACCCCGGGACUGCGUCCGAUACUUCCGAGCUGGAGGUAGGUAGGGGAGAUCGGAAUUCCUGGUGUAGCGGUGAAAUGCGCAGAUAUCAGGAGGAACACCGGUGGCGAAGGCGGAUCUCUGGGCCUUACCUGACGCUGGAGGCGCGAAAGCUAGGGGAGCGAACAGG
rnacentral:rRNA from 1 species